rnacentral:rRNA from 1 species
GACGAACGCUGGCGGCGUGCCUAAUACAUGCAAGUAGAACGCAGUUGCGAACGGGUGAGUAACGCGUAGGUAACUGCCUGGUAGCGGGGGAUAACUAUUGGACACGAUAGCUAAUACCGCAUACUACCAGAUGGACCUGCGUUGUAUUAGUUAGUUGGUGGGGUAACGGCUCACCAAGGCAACGAUUCAUAGCCGGCCUGGGAGGGGUGUCGGCCACACUGGGAAUGGGGCACGGGCCAGACUCCUACGGGAAGCAGCAGUAGGGAAUCUUCGGCAAUGGGGGGAACCCUGGACGAGCAAAGCCGCGUGAGUGAAGAAGGUUUUCGGAUCGUAAAGCUCUGUUGUUAAGGAAGCGGUACUUAACCAGAAAGGGACGGCUAACUACGUGCCAGCAGCCGCGGUAAUUC